AUUGAACGCUGGCGGCAGGCCUAACACAUGCAAGUCGAGCGGAGCGGUGGUCGGGGGCGUAAUACCGAGGCAUCUGCAUGGUAGUGAGGGAUAACGCUCGGAAACGGACGCUAUGACAACAUACUAUCAGCGGAGGCUAGGUCGGAUGAGCUAGUUGGGGAGGGAAUGGCCCACGAAGGCCACGAUCCGUAACUGAUCUAAGCGGAUGAUCAGUAACAAUGGAACUGAGACACGGUCCAGACGCCUACGGGAGGCAGCAGUAGGGAAUAUUGGGCAAUGGGCGAAAGCCUGAGCAAGCCAUGCCGCGUGAGUGAAGAAGGUCUUCGGAUUGUAAAGCUCUUUAAGUAGGGAGGCGUUACCGACAGAAGAAGCACCGGCUAACUCUGUGCCAGCAGCCGCGGUAAUAC
rnacentral:rRNA from 1 species